GAUGAACGCUGGCGGUAUGCUUAACACAUGCAAGUCGAACGGAAGUUUGUAAAAACUUUAGUGGCGGACGGGUGAGUAACACGUGAGAAUCUACCUUUAGGAGAGGCAUAACAGUUGGAAACGAUUGCUAAAGCCUCAUAUGCUGCAAAGUGAAAAGAGAAAUCUGCCUGAAGAUGAGCUCGCGCCUGAUUAGCUAGUUGGUAAAGUAAUGGCUUACCAAGGCGACGAUCAGUAGCUGGUUUGAGAGGACGACCAGCCACACUGGGACUGAGACACGGCCCAG
rnacentral:rRNA from 1 species